rnacentral:rRNA from 1 species
CACGUAGGGGGCGAGCGUUGUCCGGAAUCAUUGGGCGUAAAGAGCUCGUAGGCGGCUCGGUAAGUCGGGUGUGAAACCCCCAGGCUCAACCUGGGGACGCCACCCGAUACUGCUGUGGCUAGAGUCCAGUAGGGGAGUGUGGAAUUCCCGGUGUAGCGGUGAAAUGCGCAGAUAUCGGGAGGAACACCAAUUGCGAAGGCAGCUCGCUGGGACGUAACUGACGCUGAGACGCGAAAGCGUGGGGAGCAAACAGG